rnacentral:rRNA from 1 species
UACGUAGGGUGCGAGCGUUAAUCGGAAUUAUUGGCGUAAGAGCUCGUAGGCGGUUGUCGCGUCUGCCGUGAAGUCGGCUCACUCGAUCUGCGUCGAUACGCAUCACUGAGUCGCAGGAGACUGAUCUGUGUAGCGUGAAUGCGCAGAUAUCAGAGACACGAUGGCGAGCAGAUCUCUGGCGAUACUGACGCUGAGAGCGAAGCGUGGAGCGAACAG